rnacentral:rRNA from 1 species
UACGUAGGAGGCAAGCGUUGUCCGGAAUUACUGGGCGUAAAGCGCGUGUAGGUGGUGGGACAAGUCUGCUGUGAAAGCGCCUGGCUUAACCGGGCGAGGUCGGCGGAAACUGUCCGACUCGAGGACGGUAGAGGGGGGUGGAAUUCCCGGUGUAGCGGUGAAAUGCGUAGAGAUCGGGAAGAACACCAGUGGCGAAAGCGCUCUGCUGGACUGCAACUGACACUGAGGGACGAAAGCUAGGGGAGCGAAAGGG